UACGUAGGGGGCAAGCGUUAUCCGGAUUUACUGGGUGUAAAGGGAGCGUAGACGGUCAUGCAAGCCUGAAGUGAAAGCUCGGGGCUCAACCCCGGAACUGCUUUGGAAACUGUUUGACUGGAGUGCAGGAGAGGUAAGCGGAAUUCCUAGUGUAGCGGUGAAAUGCGUAGAUGUUAGGAGGAACACCAGAGGCGAAGGCGGCUUACUGGACUGUAACUGACGUUGAGGCUCGAAGGCGUGGGGAGCAAAC
rnacentral:rRNA from 1 species